rnacentral:lncRNA from 11 species
CACACCCCACCACACACACACUAUCUUUCCAAGGCAAGGCAAGUUUGGUUGCAGAUGAAAGCAGACUUCCAUGUCAAGCAGAUUUUCAUGUGGGGAGUGGGCUUCCCAUUUCAUGCUCCCGAAGAAAUGGAAGACAUGAAAGCAACUGUAGAAACGACUCUCCUGUCCCUUGUCCACCAUUGGCGGACAGGAAUGCUCUCCCAUUGGCUGGAAGACGCGGCAGUCUCGCCUCUGCAGGGAAUCCUCCCUGAUGUCAACAGAGCUCAGCCAAUCAUGGCGAAGCUGGCUCCAGUUGGGGCGGGAGCAAGAAUUUCAAAGGAUUGUUGUUGUUUAUUUGUUCAGUCGCUUCCGACUCUUCAUGACCUCAUGGGCCACAGCAGAGCUCCCUGUUGGACAUCACCACCCCCAGUCACUUCAAAGAUGCCUUCCAUCCAUCUUGCCCUUGGUCGGCCCCUCUUCCUUUCUCCUUCAACUUUCCCCAGCAUCAUUAUUUUCUUCAAGCUUUCCUGUCUUCGCAUUAUGUGUCCAAAGUAAAAAGGACAAAAGAUUGUACUAUAUAAAAAUGUCUGUUUUUCAAUGUCAUGGCAUCUCAGCUUACUUUGGCAGUUUAUUGCAAGCUGGCAUCACUUCAGCUGACUUGAAUAAAAUACCUCGGG